GGCUCAGGACGAACGCUGGCGGCGUGCUUAACACAUGCAAGUCGAACGAAGCGCUUAAACGGAUUUCUUCGGAUUGAAGUUUUUGCGACUGAGUGGCGGACGGGUGAGUAACGCGUGGGUAACCUGCCUCAUACAGGGGGAUAACAGUUAGAAAUGACUGCUAAUACCGCAUAAGCGCACAGUGCUGCAUGGCACAGUGUGAAAAACUCCGGUGGUAUGAGAUGGACCCGCGUCUGAUUAGCUAGUUGGUGGGGUAACGGCCUACCAAGGCGACGAUCAGUAGCCGGCCUGAGAGGGUGAACGGCCACAUUGGGACUGAGACACGGCCCAAACUCCUACGGGAGGCAGCAGUAGG
rnacentral:rRNA from 1 species